rnacentral:rRNA from 1 species
CUACGGGAGGCUGCAGUGGGGAAUAUUGCACAAUGGAGGAAACUCUGAUGCAGCAACGCCGCGUGGAGGAUGACACUUUUCGGAGCGUAAACUCCUUUUAUAUAGGAAGAAGAUGACGGUACUAUAUGAAUGAGCGUCGGCUAACUCCGUGCCAGCAGCCGCGGUAAUACGGAGGGCGCAAGCGUUACUCGGAAUCACUGGACGUAAAGAGCGUGUAGGCGGAUUAAAAAGUCAGAAGUGAAAUCCUAUAGCUUAACUAUAGAACUGCUUCUGAAACUCUUAAUCUAGAAUAUGGGAGAGGUAGAUGGAAUUUCUGGUGUAGGGGUAAAAUCCGUAGAGAUCAGAAGGAAUACCGAUUGCGAAGGCGAUCUACUAGAACAUUAUUGACGCUGAGACGCGAAAGCGUGGGGAGCAAACAGGAUUAGAUACCCCGGUAGUC